UACGUAGGGUGCAAGCGUUAAUCGGAAUUACUGGGCGUAAAGCGUGCGCAGGCGGCUAUGCAAGACAGAUGUGAAAUCCCCGGGCUCAACCUGGGAACUGCAUUUGUGACUGCAUGGCUAGAGUACGGUAGAGGGGGAUGGAAUUCCGCGUGUAGCAGUGAAAUGCGUAGAUAUGCGGAGGAACACCGAUGGCGAAGGCAAUCCCUUGGACCUGUACUGACGCUGAGGCGCGAAAGCGUGGGGAGCAAACGGG
rnacentral:rRNA from 1 species